GAUGAACGCUGGCGGCGUGCCUAAUACAUGCAAGUCGAGCGAACAGAUGAGGAGCUUGCUCCUCUGACGUUAGCGGCGGACGGGUGAGUAACACGUGGAUAACCUACCUAUAAGACUGGGAUAACUUCGUGAAACCGGAGCUAAUACCGGAUAAUAUAUUUAACCGCAUGGUUCAAUAGUGAAAGACGGUUUUGCUGUCACUUAUAGAUGGAUCCGCGCCGCAUUAGCUAGUUGGUAAGGUAACGGCUUACCAAGGCAACGAUGCGUAGCCGACCUGAGAGGGUGAUCGGCCACACUGGAACUGAGACACGGACCAGACUCCUACGGGAGGCAGCAGUAGGGAAUCUUCCGCAAUGGGCGAAAGCAUGACGGAGCAACGCCGCGUGAGUGAUGAAGGUCUUCGGAUCGUAAAACUCUGUUAUUAGGGAAGAACAAAUGUGUAAGUAACUAUGCACGUCUUGACGGUACCUAAUCAGAAAGCCACGGCUAACUACGUG
rnacentral:rRNA from 1 species